UGUUGCCUCGGCUGCCGAAAUCGCAUCGCGCCUCGGGCAGCGAGGGCUGCGCGCUGGAAAGGGCUUUGGGUGCGAGGCUCGCACGGGCGGUGCCGGGAAAGGAGAGAGAAGGCACCACCGGGACGUCGCUUUAGAGGCCAAGUCCUUCUGCUGGCUUCUCCCAGCCUGGCUGGCAGGUUUAAUACCCAGCGUGCACACGCAGAAGCAAGCUGCAGCUAUCACUGAGGGUCUGUAGACUUACAGAAGGCUCGGAAGCAUGGAAAGCCUCUGUGCAGCCAACAGCACUUUUGCUGUGGAGCUGUUAAGAAUGCUGUGUGAGAAGAAAAGUGGGCAGAAUGUGUUCUUUUCACCAUUUAGUAUUUCUUCUGCUUUGUCUAUGGUUUUGCUGGGUUCAAGAGGUAGCACUGAAGCCCAGAUAAGCAAGGUAGGUCAGAAUAAACUUGGUGCAUUGCAUUUGAUGGGAUCAUAUGAGGAACAGAGUUGUCUUCCAG